AGUACGAGAGGACCGGAGUGAACGUAUCUCUGGUGUUCCGGUUGUCACGCCAGUGGCAUUGCCGGGUAGCUAAAUACGGAAGAGAUAAACGCUGAAAGCAUCUAAGCGUGAAACUUGCCUUAAGAUAAGAUUUCCCUGAGGACUUGAUCCUCCUGAAGGGCCGUUGAAGACCACGACGUUGAUAGGCUGGGUGUGGAAGUGCAGUAAUGCAUUAAGCUAACCAGUACUAAUUGCCCGUGCGGCUUGGCUCUAUAGCA
rnacentral:rRNA from 1 species